rnacentral:rRNA from 1 species
UUUGCACAAUGGGCGCAAGCCUGNUGCAGCGACGCCGCGUGGGGGAUGACGGCCUUCGGGUUGUAAACCUCUUUCACCAUCGACGAAGGUCCGGGUUUUCUCGGAUUGACGGUAGGUGGAGAAGAAGCACCGGCCAACUACGUGCCAGCAGCCGCGGUAAUACGUAGGGUGCAAGCGUUGUCCGGAAUUACNUGGGCGUAAAGAGCUCGUAGGUGGUUUGUCGCGUUGUUCGUGAAAUCUCACGGCUUAACUGUGAGCGUGCGGGCGAUACGGGCAGACUGGAGUACUGCAGGGGAGACUGGAAUUCCUGGUGUAGCGGUGGAAUGCGCAGAUAUCAGGAGGAACACCGGUGGCGAAGGCGGGUCUCUGGGCAGUAACUGACGCUGAGGAGCGAAAGCGUGGGGAGCGAACAGGAUUAGAUACCCUGGUAGUCCACGCCGUAAACGGUGGGUACUAGGUGUGGGUUUCCUUCCUUGGGAUCCGUGCCGUAGCUAACGCAUUAAGUACCCCGACUGGGGAGUACGGCCGCAAGGCUAAAACUCAAAAGAAUUGACGGA